UACGUAGGGUGCAAGCGUUGUCCGGAAUCAUUGGGCGUAAAGCGCGUGUAGGCGGCCCGGUAAGUCCGCUGUGAAAGUCGGGGGCUCAACCCUCGAAUGCCGGUGGAUACUGUCGGGCUAGAGUGCGGAAGAGGCGAGUGGAAUUCCUGGUGUAGCGGUGAAAUGCGCAGAUAUCAGGAGGAACACCAAUUGCGAAGGCAGCUCGCUGGGACGUUACUGACGCUGAGACGCGAAAGCGUGGGGAGCAAACAGG
rnacentral:rRNA from 1 species